rnacentral:hammerhead_ribozyme from 3 species
AAGCGAAACCGGGGGGCGUCCUCGGUCGUCCUAGGGUCGCGCCUAGGGCCUGAUGAGCUAGCGGAAU